ACAACACAUCCAGCCUCAGACUCAGAAAAGAUGGAAGGUCAUAUAUAAAUUUUUUUAAAUGAGUGAAAAAGAGAGAAGAGGUGAAUAAAUGUGAGAACCAGGGAAAGCGAAUAAAAAGGAUACAAGGAAAGAUGAAGGGGAGAAUAAGGAGAAAUGGGAGGUCCCUGGACUUUGGGACUCAUUCUGCUCGACUUGAUCCCUGCUCUGCCCAUUGAUCACAUACACACGUUUACACCUGGCAGAAGAGGAAGAGGAGGCAUGAAGGAAUGGCCUCUUCAGAAUGGAGAAAAGCCUUCCCCAUGAGAACAUGCCUAAGACAGACUGCUGAAGAAGGCGGCAAAUGGAACAGCGCUGAAUCAGCCUGGUCAUCCCAGUCAAGCCUCCAGACAUGUAAGCACCCUCCUCUGAUCUGCAGAGCUGCCUGGCCCAAAUACUGUUGACCACUCUUGAGUAAGCCCCACCAAGAUCAGCUGAGAACAGUAGAACUGACCAGAUGACUCUAACCUCAUGAAUAAAUCCAAGUGUUUUUUUAUUUGCCUCUGA
rnacentral:lncRNA from 1 species